rnacentral:rRNA from 1 species
ACUCCUACGGGAGGCAGCAGUGGGGAAUAUUGCACAAUGGGCGCAAGCCUGAUGCAGCAACGCCGCGUGAGGGACGACGGCCUUCGGGUUGUAAACCUCUUUUAGUAGGGAAGAAGCGAAAGUGACGGUACCUGCAGAAAAAGCACCGGCUAACUACGUGCCAGCAGCCGCGGUAAUACGUAGGGUGCAAGCGUUGUCCGGAAUUAUUGGGCGUAAAGAGCUCGUAGGCGGUUUGUCGCGUCUGCUGUGAAAUCUGGGGGCUCAACCCCCAGCCUGCAGUGGGUACGGGCAGACUAGAGUGCGGUAGGGGAGAUUGGAAUUCCUGGUGUAGCGGUGGAAUGCGCAGAUAUCAGGAGGAACACCGAUGGCGAAGGCAGAUCUCUGGGCCGUAACUGACGCUGAGGAGCGAAAGCAUGGGGAGCGAACAGGAUUAGAUACCCUGGUAGUCCAUGCCGUAAACGUUGGGAACUAGAUGUAGGGGCCAUUCCACGGUUUCUGUGUCGCAGCUAACGCAUUAAGUUCCCCGCCUGGGGAGUACGGCCGCAAGGCUAAAACUCAAAGGAAUUGACGGGGGCCCGCACAAGCGGCGGAGCAUGCGGAUUAAUUCGAUGCAACGCGAAGAACCUUACCAAGGCUUGACAUAUACCGGAAACGUCCAGAGAUGGUCGCCCCGCAAGGUCGGUAUACAGGUGGUGCAUGGUUGUCGUCAGCUCGUGUCGUGAGAUGUUGGGUUAAGUCCCGCAACGAGCGCAACCCUCGUUCUAUGUUGCCAGCACGUUAUGGUGGGAACUCAUAGGAGACUGCCGGGGUCAACUCGGA